rnacentral:misc_RNA from 1 species
ACAUAUCCUUGUUCAGUCUAAUAUUGUUUCUUUGUUUGAGACGUAAUAAGGUCGCUAUUGAAAACGUAAUCGUACACGCUUGACCGGCGGGUAUCUCUAUACCUCCACUCCUCGUACCUACCAUAAACCGUGGCGAUAAAUAAAUCGAGGUAUCAGUUUAGUCUUGGAGAUCGAAGCGGUUGGACGUUAGGUUAGGACACAUUUUGGUAGACACAUUUGCCGAUUAUUGGUUGAUCACAUGUAUUCAAAUACAUAUUACGAUGAUCGAUCACGGAUCUGGAAAAUAUUCAUACAGAUAUGAUAUAUGGAGACAUUGGAUCUCCCUACCUCACCUCAUACGUCAGGUUGAUGGCAUGAAACUUACCAGUCAUCAGACGCAAUGGUCGCGAGAGCAUCGGAAUACACAGACUCCAUAUACUACACAAUGGAUGGUGGAUAGCCUCUCAGCCCUAAGGUCUGCAAAAUCGCCCUGUUUGAUACGGUGUCGAAGGCCCUCGCAACAUCAAUGGAUGCGAUCUACGAUCUUGUGGAAACCAACGUCGAAGCCGCGGUAAUGGACCGAAAGCCAGCUGAGGACGCAGAAUCUUUCCCCUUCAUAAGCAAGACUGUCCUGACGGAUCUUAGGUGUAGAGGCAAACAACGGCACCACGGCAGAAGGUUAAAUCCUUCCUAAAAUCUCGAGCAGGGUUUUGUGAAGGAUCCUUGCCGUUAGACUGGCAGAACUUGGUGCGGUAUUACGUUCCGGCAAGGCAUCUCGAACUUUGGACGGAGACACAAGAGACCAAAGCGAGCCGAUGACAGGCUCAGGCUGGUCUCUGGCAAACAGCAAUCCCGUGCGCUAGUUAUAAGGGACUCCCAGUAGGGAACCAUCACCUCCUUAAACGGAGGUGUCGGUCACCCGCAGGGCCGUCCAUCACGACAAAAACAUUUAAAAAAAAAAAGAAAUAUUUCACUAUCUUUAAUUUUGUUAAGCAAUCAUCAUUGUCUUUUUUUAGAACAAAUUUUAAUAAUUCAUAUUUUAUUAAAGGUUUUUCACUCCUUUACUCCUCAAAUUACAAAUUAAUGCGGUAAUAUAAAGAUUUAUAAAAAUAGAGAUAUUAAAAUUUGAAUGAAAUGAAACUACUACUCCAUUAUAUCCAAAAUAUAAUAGAUAUAAAUAUGAUUGCUAAUCAUAUCUUUAAUCUAAGAUUUUUAGGUUUAAUCCCUUCCGUGCUCAUUAUCAGAUCCUCACUCACGCGUUCAGAUGCUACCUGGGAGGGGAAGAGGCAAUGGGUAUAAUGACCGUAGUUUUUAAGCUUAAUAAUUUCUCAGGGACUAACGUUGCGUUAAUGUAUCCUGCACGUCCUAUUUUCCACAUUGUGUGCGAGUGAUUAAGGUGUGAAAUGACGUUGUUCUUGCUUUUCACUAUAAUAUUGGUUUAUUGAAUUAACAUUGAAAUUCGCAUAUAUUUAACUAAAAGUGAAAUGUACAUAAUAUAAUUACGCAAUAGACGCUGACCGGCAUCAAUUAAUCUCAG